AUUGAACGCUGGCGGUAGGCCUAACACAUGCAAGUCGAACGCGAAAGUCCUUCGGGAUGAGUAGAGUGGCGGACGGGUGAGUAACGCGUAGGAAUCUAUCCUGUAGUGGGGGAGUAACGUUUCGAAAGGAACGCUAAUACCGCAUACGCCCCAACGGGGGAAAGGCGGGGGAGUCUUCGGACCUCGUGCUAUAGGAGGAGCCUGCGUCGGAUUAGCUAGUUGGUGAGGUAAAGGCUCACCAAGGCGACGAUCCGUAGCUGGUCUGAGAGGAUGAUCAGCCACACCGGAACUGAGACACGGUCCGGACUCCUACGGGAGGCAGCAGUGGGGGAAUAUUGCGCAAUGGGCGAAAGCCUGACGCAGCCAUACCGCGUGUGUGUAG
rnacentral:rRNA from 1 species